rnacentral:piRNA from 1 species
UCCCAUUGCAGAAGAUGAACUGCCACUAAC